rfam:Oryzias latipes DNA, ultracontig23, strain: Hd-rR.
CGUGCUGCUGUCAGUAACAAGGAUUCAUCCUGUUGUGACGCUGCAGACGGACAGGAAGUCAUUGUUACUGGGAGUGUCUGU